rnacentral:rRNA from 1 species
UACGGGGGGGGCAAGCGUUGUUCGGAAUUACUGGGCGUAAAGGGCUCGUAGGUGGCCAACUAAGUCAGACGUGAAAUCCCCAGGCUCAACCUGGGAACUGCGUCCGAUACUGGCAGGCUUGAAUCCGGGAGAGGGAUGUGGAAUUCCAGGUGUAGCGGUGAAAUGCGUAGAUAUCUGGAGGAACACCGGUGGCGAAGGCGGCAUCCUGGACCGGUAUUGACGCUGAGGCGCGAAAGCGUGGGGAGCGAACAGG